rnacentral:tRNA from 1 species
GCCGAUGUAGCUCAGUUGGUAGAGCAGCGGUUUUGUAAACCGCAGGUCGUAGGUUCGAAUCCUAUCGUCGGCU